CAUUAACUUUCCAUGCAUAUAUAGCAAUAUCCCAUCAUAGUCUGCCUAUAAUCAGUUUUUAAUGUUAUUGAAUUAACAUUAAUCGAUUCAGGCUAGUGACAAAGAAGUUGAAUUUGCAAGAUUUGGCCUGAGUUCAUAUGAUAAAAUACAAGCCUAUGAUUGGCAUUGAGUUUCGUUUUCCUGCUUACUGUUAGAAGGUUUUCCUCUACUCAUCAUGACAUGAUCGAUCGCCUGCCAGAACGAGCACGUGCUAUGAAUCUCGGUUACCUCGAUGCUUUAAUUACAAAUACUUUAUAAACAGCGAGUGUGAAGCCUGUAAAUUAUACCAACAGAUAUAAGCUGUAUUGCAAGAUUUAAUUGUCGUUAUUACUCGGCAAUUUUCGCGAGUGAGAAACGUUACUAAAUAAAUUUGCAUCGAAUUUGAUAGAUUCUAUUGAACGCGUUACUGCAAUCAGUAGAGACAACCAGGAAGAACUCGUUGAAUCUUAUAUAAUGUGAACAAAAUGGAGGUUAUAUCUAAUUUUUUAUACAUGUAGUUCUAAGCUUAAUCUGUGUAUCUGCUAUGUCGGACAGCAAAAUGUGUAGAUCAGGAAUGUGUCGGUUACAGGCUGCACAAACACCAGUGUACAGAAUGUGAAGCUGGAACGUAUGGUAUAAACUGCAGUCAAACAUGUCCUGAUGGAUAUUAUGGCAGACGUUGUAAAGAAGCGUGUUCUCGAGCUUGUAAUGAAAGCUGCGACAAGGUCGAUGGUAAAUGUCCAGACUAGGAAUAUGCUGUACUGGUUAUAUGCUACACAACAACAGGUGUACAGAAUGUGAAGCAGGAACGAGAGGAAUAAACUGUAGUAAAACAUGUCCAGAUGGAUAUUACGGCAGACUGUGUAAAGAAGUGUGUUCUACAGAUUGUAAAGGAACAUGCAACAAGGUCAACGGAAGCUGUCCGGAUGAAGACGACAGUCAUGUCAGCGUGGAUAUCGACAGACCCCAUUCUACACAUGAAAGUGUCACAUGUAGAUGCACAGGUAUUCAAAAUAUGUGUCAUGAUCGCUUUGAAUACGUAACCUCCAGAGCGUUUACAAUAUAAGUAUUUAGUUCUAUGGUUAUUUCAAUUAUACACAAAUAUCUCUCUACAGGUGUAUUGUACUUGUAGAAAUCAUGGUUGAUAAUCUUUAGACGCGUGGGUCGAAACAUCUCUUUAUAUUACGAACAAUCGAUUCGAUUCAAAUUCUAUAAAGAUCCCUCGAACACCUGAACGUACUGAAACAAGUACAAUAUGUACCAAUAAAUUGAUUUGGGUAGUACAUGGGAUUCAUGGAAUAUUACAAAUAUACCAUAUGCCAUCAUACCAACGUAAUAAUUGAAACUUUCAAAAUUAGUGAAAGUACUAUGAAAAUAACGUUUGUUCAAUUGUAUACGGGUAACAGCUUGCACUCUUGUCCAACAGAUCGACUGUUGCCCAAUCCCCUGUCAACAACUACCCAUAUAUAGAUAAAUAGAUAUAUUCAUAUCACUCAAUCACUUUAAAAUGCUAUGAUUGAACAAGAUUCAAAGCUUUAUUCAUGUUAGAUUUUUGGAAAGUAUUUAACAUUAAUUUUGAAUUGUUUGAAAUUAUUAUUUAAACAAUAAACCAUGAUAAUCAACACAUGCAUUGUUCUUUUUCUAACUCCAUCAAAUCGAAACGUCACAAAAUAUGCUAAUAAUAAAAUCAGAAUCCAUUUGGGUUUUUUUCCAGAAAUUGUUAGUCAAGGGGAGGGGGAGGCUUAAAUGUAACUUGCUUUUUAAGAAUUAUUUCCGAUUUAUAAAGCCAUGUCCAGUCUUACGCGUACGUGUUCAUGUACCUGAUGUUCCACUUCAGUGAUAUGGAGGGGUAGAUUAUGUUUUCAUGAUAACUAAAAUCUGCAGUAAGGGUAAGUAAAUCUUUGUUAUAAAUACUAUAAGAAGCUGUUAUGUAAAAUUGUACGCAUUUAACUUGCUUUGUUUCAUGUUACUUAUAGAAAUACUACACUUUAGUAUUUAUGUCCAAUUGUAUUAGGAACUCCUUGUCACGUGUGUGUAGUUACGACACUUUCCAUCUUUGAAUGACCUUGAUCUCAGAAACCGCUUAUGUUCGGCAAUUAUCGUUCCCGUGUCCGAGUAUUUGACGUUUACGUCUGAAGCUAUGUCGGUUUAUACGAGCAACAUUCCUUUGCUUAUUUGCUGAAUUUGUAUUCAGAUGUUGGGGAUUAUAUCAGCUACGUAUAGCGAUAGGUGGUGAUUGGUUCUUACUUGCAUCGUCAGUUAGAUAAGUAGUUAUGCGUUUUCUUUUCACGUCGUUUCAUUAUCUUGCUUUGCUGUAUGAAAUGGUGUAAAUCAAUUUAACUUUAGUAUUGUUUCUGUUUGUUCGUAUACGUACUUAUGUGUUGUACGGCAGCCCAGUUGAGAGUUUAAAUUAUCACAUUUCAAGAAAUUUGUUGGAAGGUUUCUAGAUGUAAGUACAUGUAUUUGUAGUGAACGUCUGCUGGUGGCGACCUGGUGGGCGAAGUUUACCCAAUGUCGUAACAAUCUGACUCUAUGUAGAGGGCGGAGGAUGACCUUCACACGAGAUAAAAAUAUGAGCGUGCAUGGUGGAUACGUGGUGCACUCUAGUAUUCAUGGACAAUUUCGUUUUAUUGAUUGAUUGUUUUCUUUUGUAUAUUUGUAUAUAUUUAUUUGGUUUUAUAUGAAAUUGUAGAUAGUUAAACG